GAGAAUCACGUACAAUUCAUUUGGAAAAGGUGUGGCAAGUCAACCCAAGGGGUCGUUAUAACAUGUCCCAUAUUCAUUAAUUCAUCAUUCGUAAUUGCUUAAUUACAAGAGAUUAUACUUGUAAUUGAUAGCCACGAUACUUAGCAGUAAUUUUGGUUCUAUAAGAUGAGAGACAUCUCACAUUGAGCGGUAUCAAUUUUUAUUGAGUAUAGUUGACAACCACCCUUGAGUCUGAAGUGUAAUGAAACUAAGCAGAUUGGUGUUUUUCCGGUAUUUAUUUGAGAAUUUUUUAAUAUGGUUUUAUGGUAUUGGGAAGGUCACCAGAAGCUGAUUACCCUUUCGAUGAUCAAGAAGUACACACCAUAAAGUUUGCACUCUAAACCAAAUAAUAUCACACACGAGAAUUGCCAUUACAAUGGAAAACAAUGUCAUUCAAAUGAUCUGGUUGAAUGACAUAAAAAGUUUAGCCUUCACUCACCAUCCAGGAGAGUAUAACAGACACAGACACACAUUUAAUGUUUAUAGUUAAAGGAAAUAUUUUCCUCACAAAACUAGUGCUUUUACGGGGUAUUAGCUAAUUUAUAGUCGUAUUUUGAGAAGAGGACAACUUCUCUUUCUCCAGCGGGGUAUUAGCUAAUUUAUAGUUGUAUUUUGAGAAGAGGACAACUUCUCUUUCUCCAGCAACUUGAUCAAUGGGAAUUGCAUCAGCUAUUUCUUUCAAGUCAUCAGGUGUCAGCUUGACAGCUAGAGAAUUAAUGUUGUCAAUAAGGUUCUUAAUCUUUGUUGUUCCUGUAUAUCAUUCAAUUUAAGAUCAAAACCUUUCAGAGUAAAUAAUAUUUCAUCAGUCAAGAUUUAAGAAAGCAUUGUCAAUGUUAGUGUGCGACUUUUGCAUGCUUACCAGGUAUUGGAACCACAUCAUCUCCCCGAUGGAGAAGCCAUGCCAGAGCAAGUUGAGGAGGAGUGCAAGAAUGCUUGGCUGCUAAAUUGGCAAAACGAGCAUAAAGUACUUUGUUCUUCUCUAGAUUCUCUCCAACAAACCUUGGGUGCUUAUCCUAGAAGAAAAAAAUAAUUAAUUUAAAUUUUUUCUUAUUUAUAUAGCUCAAUACUGUCUAAUCCAUCUUUUCAAAUAUGCCAUCAAGGAAGACUAAAGAUGAAAAGAAAUUAUGCAAAUAUUACCAGAAGACUCUGUGAAGGCAAGCUCUCCACAAUUGCCUUCCCAACAAAGAACCCAUGACCAAGUGGGCUAUAAGCUACUAUUCCAAUACCAAGUUCCCUGAAUCAAAGAGCCGGGAAAAUUUAUUCCUCUCGUAACAUUGAUGCAAACUUUUUAUUUUGGUAUUUAUCUUCUUAGUAUUUCUCAUCUAGGCCAAAGUCCAACACCAUAAAGAUGAAUAUCUAAUGAUUUUUUUUUUUAAAAUAUAAUAUUGGAAGAAAGAAACAAAAUUACAAAUUUUCAACUUACCUACAAAGUGGGAUUACAUCCUCUUCUAUUUCACGAGUCCAUAGAGAAUACUCCAUUUCUACAGCAGUUAUUGGAUGAACUGCAUGUGCCCUCCUGAUUGUAUCCACACUAGCUUCGGACAACCCAAUGUAUCUAAUCUUUCCCUCUUCCACUAGCUUCUUUAGCUCCCACAUCUUUUCUCCAGAAUCAACUCAAAGGAGAAAGACACGAAAGGAAAGAAAAGAAUACAAAUUUUAGGGGCAGUAUAGUGAAAAUGCAGAAAUAUCAUAUAGUAACAUAAAUAGAAUGAAUUUUCUUCUAAUACUAACCGUUUCCUCUAUUGGCACAGAUAUGUCUAUCCGGUGCGGAUAAUACAGAUCAAUGUAAUCCACAUUCAGCCGCUUAAGACUGGCUUCGAUGCAUUGCCGCACAUACUUAAGAGUUCCUUUGACCUCUACUUGAGUGAAAUCCAUCUUAUAAAUGCCAAAUUUACUUGCUAGUUGAACUUGUUCACGAGGCAACUCUUUUAAUGCCUAAUAAAUCAUAGUAAACAACCAAAUUAUUUCUCUUAUAGACGACGAAUUUUCUGAAAAUAAGUAUAGGGUAUUCAAUGGCAUGUUCUAAUUUUCAAGUGACAGAAUUACCUUGCCAAUCAUUAUCUCAUUGUCGCCCUCCUGUCCAUAGCGAUCAGCAGUGUCAAAGAAGGUGAUACCCAUAUUGAAUGCUUCUUUUAAAAUCGCACAUCCAGCUUCAUGCGAGAGUGGAGCAUUUAGUAUGCCAGAAAGUCCCCCACAACCAAAACCCAGUUUAGAAACCUGAACGCAAAAGACCUCUCAGUCAUGAUCCCACUCUUAUUAAUAUAAUUGAGUAUCUAAUCAGUGUAUAUUUUAUAAACGUUAUGCUCAUUUUGCUGGGCUUAAUCUGCAUGAACAUAACAUUAAGAUAGCAAUGUAAUAGAAGAACCAUGGAUCGAAUGGGACAGGACAACCAGUGACAGAAGCCCUUCAGGUUCUCGAUGAUAAAAAAGAAAAGAUGAUUAUUUAGUAAUUUCCCAUUUUGCUUAAUGCCAAUCCUUACCAGAAGGGAAAUUGGUACCGUGAAGGUAGCACAAAUUUAGGAUCUUUAUUGGAGGCAAACAAGGAUAAGCUGACUUCAAGAUCUAAAUUUGCAGAUAAGAAUUAUAUGGCAGCAAGUUAACGUUAAAGUUAAAUGAAUUGUACCCCACAUGCUUGCCCACAGGAAUUAUGGUAAUUAUAGUCUAAUUAUUCAAGGAUCAAGAAAAGAAAUGCUAAAACUUCACUUCACGUUACAGCGAAAAGGUUCAUUUGUAUCUUUAAAAUUCAAGUACUUACCCUCGCUAUGUUUAAAGACGUUGGAACUGGAACAUACAAAGGAUCAAUUCACAUUCAAAUGGUACUUCUCCAAUCUAAGUCUCAAGUUUCAUGCCACCAAAGACAGCCUUAGUAUCUCUAAUAAAUCAUCAUCGACGCUAUUUUGUUGUUUCAUCUACCGACAAGGCUACCCAACAAUUACAAUAAAGCAAACUACAGCGUGCAGCAUUCAAAGUCAACUAAAAUAUAAAAUUUUCUGAAUUAUCAUUUAUAAACAUAUAUUUUCCGACCAAACCGUAUACAGUCUACUGCAGGUCAAUCUUUUUACACAACACUGCAAGCAAGUAAAAGAAGAUACAGAAAACAGAGACUGAUCAACCACAGACACGGGGAACCAAUGUUUAACGAUUGCCUAUCAAGAUAAUUUUUUAACUUCCCAGUCUUUGAUCAGAUGCAUAUCCAUAUUAGGAUGAGCUUCAAAAUAAGCAAAAAUAACAUUUUUUUGUUUCCCAAUAUUUUUAGAUAAGUUAAUCUCUUUUCCCCCUUAAAUUUCACUAUAACUAAUAUUUUCAAUUUGGAUCAACGAAGAAAUAUAUUUUUAUAAGUAAGAUUGAAACCUCCAGGCCUUGGGUACCCAAUUUCAGUCUUGGCACCAGCAUCCGAGGCUUCUGCUCCAUUAUGCCCUGUACAGGGAAAUCCACCUGAAAAAUUCAAAGAAGAUGAGAGCUUAAGUGAGUUACUGGCAAAUUAUGCAUUUAACUUCAAAAGACUAGGGUUUAUAAAAAUUAAUGAGAAGCGGAGCAGUAAAAAUGUGUCAAUUGAUUAGUGAAGUGUUGCUUUCCGUUUCUAAGUUGAUAGAGACCUCAGCCAAUUAACAUUGUGUAAUGUCCCAAAAUUUCAUAUAUUAGAAUUUAAUUUAUGUGCGCUAUAUUUUAAUAUUUUGGAAGUUUAGGGACUAAAUAUAUAUAAAGUAAAUUUCAAUAUUUAUUGGAUGUUAAAAUGUAGAUGUUGACGGAGCGACAAUAAGAAUAUCAAUAUUGUACUCGUUGGAUAGGUCGUAAUUAAUCAUGCAUGUUAGGCUCGAAAAAAAGUUAAUUUGAAUUAGCGGAGCCUAAGUUAUCGAGGUUGAAAGAUAUAGCCUUAAAUUAUUAUUAUUGUUGUUAUUACUCCUAUUAUUAUUAUUAUUUUAUCAGCCUUGCUACAUGUACACCAAGCCUUACAGCUCGGUGUACAGUCCCCUCACAUCGAGGGGCUGCCAAUUAAAAAAAAGGGCGUGGGCCCCCUCUACAGUGAGGGGGCUGUAAGUAUACAACACCUUUUAGUGAUGUACAAGUAGGUUAAUUGUUAUUUUAUUGAGUAUGUAUUGAAUUGGUUAGUUUCACACGUAAGAUUCUUGGUAGGUGGUAAGUUGAUGAUUGAUUUGUUUAUUAAAUAAAAUAAAAUAAAAUAAACAGAAAAGAAAAGAAAGAGAGAUAGAGAAAGGUAUGGGGAGCCACAAUAACGUGAGUGCUCACAAUCACGUGAGUGGUUGUUGAGAAACAAAAUUUUAUUAUUAUUUAAUUAGAAUUUUGAAUUAAAUGGUUGUCACCACGUGUACGGUAAUGGUUUGCUUUUGAGUGAUUGGUUAGUUGACAAGUACGUGAUCCUAUAUUGAUAAGGCUUAGUCUCCUAUUUUGUUUCAAAAACAGUUUUCUCAACUUUAUCUAAAUACCCACUCCCACACGUUUUUUUAUGAAUAUGACUACAUGUGUAUGGAAUGAACCGCACGAGAAUCGAGACACAAAAAUAUAUUGGUGCACGCACACAUUGUUAAUAGAGGCAGAAAAAGAAAGGAGAAACGAACGUGAUUUUUCUUUUGUCUUCAUAUUAAAGCAGUUCAACAAGGUAGGAUAUAGAGGUGCAGUGUAUUUUUUUAAAAUCCCCAUUUAAAUUUGUUUUCAUGCUGAUGAACUUUAUACUCAUGAAAUUUAAAGUUAUGAUAUGAUAUGAAUGAUAUGGUCAUUCCGGAACAACAAUAUGAUAUGAGCUUACCGAAUUUUAAAGAUAUGAGACGGUAUGAUUUUCUGAUACAUGUUUUAAAAUUAUCAUACGGGAUCGCAUCAUUAAUUUUAUAUCAUACUGAGUAUUUUUAUGUACUCACCAUUUUCCCUACUCCUCACAGAUUAGAAUGAGUCGUUGGUUGGCGGGCGAUGCAGUGGAGUUGUGAUGCCAGAAAUUAUGGAAUUCAAAAUAAAUUAAUUCUGAGUAACAUGACUAGGAAAUUUUAUUUAUUUAUUUUCUUGCGUUAUUUCAGUUUUAUUUUCAUGUUAAAUUUGAAAUUUAAUAUUUGGAACAUGGUUCAGUUAAUUAUGUUUUCCAUAGACUUUAGUUAUUGUAUAGAUGGAACUAGAAAGAUUUUCAUGUAGAAUGUUUGACAUAAUUUAUUUAAUUAUGAAAUAAAGGUUUUAGUAACAAUUUUAAAUCUUUAAAUUUUGGGUCGUUACAGUGUGGUAUCAGAGCAUAGGUUUAAUUUCCUGUAGACCCACGUGUAUUCUCAUAAUCUUUUUUUUUUUUAAAUAAAUAAAAAAAUUUUGGGACGUGAACAGUGACGUAAUUGGAAAUUGUACUGAAAAUAAAAACAAAUUUGUUUGGCAUCCUACAGAAAGUAUGAGUUCCAUUUGUACAAAUAAAAUGCUUUUAAGGAAUCAGGGACGUUAUUGUUGGAAAAUGCUGGAUCAUUUUAUGCACAGGAUACCCUUCUGCCAUACUGCAUGUUAAAUUACGUUUCAGUUCAUUGGAAAGGUGUGAUAUAGGGAUGUAAACGAGCCGCCUCGCGAGCCUAAAGUUUCGGCUCGGGCUCGGCCCGGUUAAAAUGACCGAGCUUUUUUGCGGGCUCGAGCCAGGCCGAGCUUUUAAAAAAGGCUCGACCCGAGCUUCUGCUCGGGCUUUUUACGGGCCGAGCCGGGCAGGCUCGUUUUCUCCCCAAUUUUUUUUCCUCCUGCUGCCUUUAAAAGGCAGCAAUUUUGCCUUAAAUUUAAAUUUUUUUUUUUUAUUAAAAGGCUCGCGAGCUCACGGGCCGGCUCGGGCAAAGCCCGUGUCCCCAAAAUGGGGCUCGGCCCGAGCUUAGGCUCAGGUCUACCGAGCCCCGAGCCGAGCCACGAGCGGCCCGAGCCGACGAGCCCGAUUGCCAUCCCUCAUGUGAUAUGAGUAAUGUAAAUCCCCGAGUCCCGAAUUUGAAUGUGUAAAUAAUACAAACCUUGUGAACAGAUUCAAGCUCUUUAAGUGCAGUUUGUGUUUUUGGGACCUUGAGCGUUCUCGGAGUAAAUAUUUCUCGAAGCCUUACAAUGCCAUUCUUGGAAUAACUAUGUGCAAACUACCAAUUAAAGCAAAGUUAUUUUACAAGUUUCACCAGUCAAAACAUAACUAAUUGGCUACAAGUAGGAAUUUACCUGAGUCAGGCCCUGAGAUGAAAUGUCAUCAUCCAUAUCUACUGGACUGAGGAUGAAAAAUACUAAUUAGUGCAGACAUUAUGAGGAAAAAUACUAGUUUUUCGCUAGCUAACUAGAAUUGUUCAUUAAGAAAAGCGUCCUGCCAUAUUUGAUCAUAAUAUAUGGGAUUGUUAAUUUGAAACAGUUUUGUAGAAGUGUUGCCAGAGUCUUCAUUGUUCUGGAACCAUCAUUAUAAGAACAGGAUAUAUUAUCAUUUACCAGAAAAAGGAAUUUAAUAAAAAAAUUAUUGCAAUUGAAGGCGAAAGCUUUAUUCUUUAUAAGGGGACAGAAAUGCUACCUUAUUACGAAGAGAUGUUUAUCAUUCAAAUUAAGUGGCAGUUCAUCAAUGGGCAUAACGAUCAUAAUUAAAAGUUAAAACAAAUGGUGAAAAAGAGUAUCAAAAAUGGAAAACCAAAGGAGGAACCAUGAGAGGUUCUAAAAGCAGAAGUCUCCCUAAUUGAAAGAAAGGAACCGAACAGGAAAAAGUUGGCAUACCAACAUUUCUUCACAAUCAGUGAUGAAAUAGUUUGCAGAUAACUUGGCAUUCUCCAGAAAAUGUUCCUGGGAGCAAAAAUUGGAAAUGGGCGAUCAGGAAGGGGGAAACAAAGAAAAGAAAAGAAACCGAAAGUAAUUAAGGUCGAUAAUCUGAAGUCGUUUCAAGUGGCAUGAACCGUUAUCUCCAGCACAUGUUAAAAAUAAUGACCGCUAAUAUACUGUACAAAAUUGUAGUGUAAGAAGCAAAAGUAUCAUCUAUAUUAAGUUCCUUAUGUUCUUGCGCAUCUUGUGGUCUUACAGGACUUCAGCUAAGGAAAUACCGCACAAUACUAAACAAUUUCAGCAGCAUUCCCCUGAGGAUGCUCCUGUUUGAUUCCAUAUAGCUUGGUGUAGAUUUUUUUAAAAAAUAAAUAAAUAAAUAAAUAAAAUAAAAUUAAAAAAGAAAAGAAAAGAAAAGAAAAAAGGAAGAAACUAAGCAAUUGUGAAAUCUGAAAUUGGGAAUUCAGAUCCAAUGCCCCAUAAUUUCAAAAUUCUAGUACUUCUUUGAGAUUUGGAACCCUGUUUGGAGUAUUUAAGAUAUAUUCCAUAAGAUAGACACCACAAACAACAGAUCCAAUGAAUAAACAGUUAAUUCCUAUAGAUUUCAAAGAUGACACUAAAUUCAUAAAUGUUGUUAAGAACAGGACAUGAACUUAGCCCUGGUUUUGGCCCCUAUUUUUUGGAAAUGAAAAUGGAUGGAAUAGUGUUUUUAUGAAAAAUGUGUGGUUGAAAAAGAAGGAAAAGUUUUCAAUUUACAUGUAAUAUUAUUUUAUGGAAGAAUGUGUGAUUGAAAAUAGGAAAGAGAAAAAUGGAAUGUAAUUUAAUGAGAUUCAAACAUGGGCUUAUUAUAUGUUCCUGAUGGUAGCAUACAAGCAAUAGAUGGCAUGAUGUGGAGAAUAGUCUCUCCUAAAAUAACCAGUGUGCAAAUAAACAUCAUGCUUGGCAAGUUUCCAGAUAGAAGAUACAAAUUGUUUCCCCGUCCAAAAUAUCCAAUAAGAACACAUUGACCAUAUUGAGAGCUGGUGCAUAACUGGUUAAUUUCCAGCCUUCAUUGUGAGUGUACUUAAUAGGCUAAACCAAUAACUAGAUGAGUAGAACACCUGGAUAAGUUCAGACAGAGAAUUAAAUUUGGCAUCAUGAUGUCACCGAAAUCUCUAUCCAGAAACAAAAAAUAGAUCACGUAUAAGUACCAAUCCAGGAUACAUGCAUAUGUAGAUAACACUUGAAAAUUUAUUGACUCGCCUAACCUCAGUACAGUGGGGAGGGAGGGAGGAGGAGAGAGAGAGAGAGAGAAACCUACCAAUAUCUGUUGCAUACCAAGCAUAGGAUGGAGACGAGAAUACAUGAACAAAAGGUCAAAACUCGGAAAAAGUCCAGCUUGCUGCAUCAUAAACAUGUCCUUCUUUAGGUAAAAUUAUCAAGAGAGUGCAUUCAAGUUAAGAGAGACGCACCAACCAGCAAUGAACUAAUUACCUCUAUAAUGGGAGAUGAGGAACUCAAUGAUGAAUUAAGUAGAGGUAGAUCUUCCGCAUCUAGACACGUCACUUCACCAACAGGGAAUUUAGAUCUAUACCUGCCUGCUCUUCCUACAAGAAAAUCCACCAGUCAUAAAUCAUCAAUUUCCAUAAGCUUUGUAAAGCUUGUCAUUCCCAGAGAGAGUUAACUAAAUAUAAAUAAAACUAGAUAUUGUACUAGUCUAAGACCAUUAAACAAUGCAACAAACAAAAACAUAAACAAACAAAGCCUUGUUCCUGAUAAAUUUGAAAAAAAAAAAAGGGAAGAAGUCAGCUACACUAUUCCUUUUUCUUACCCAAUUAAGUUCAUUGCUAGAUCUAAUCAAAGAUCUAAAACGACAAGAAUCGCAAAUUCACUAAUAUACAAUAAAUAUACCAGCGAGAAUCGAAUUCCCCCACACUUACUUUCUCCUUAUACUUGUCACUCUUAGAGGUAACUAGUCCAUGUCCUGUUGCGCCAACCUUAUUCUCUCUCAAUUAUCAUUUUCUAUUUUAUUUGUUUAAUAUUUUUAUGAGGGCUGAAGUAGGGGAGUAAAAAUGUAUUUUUCAUUAUCAGUAUAGGUACCCCUCUUUUGACACAGCGACACAACUACAAUCAGAAGAGAAAAAAGUGAGGUAACAUUUCUUUCUUCCUUUCUUCUUGCAUUUUUGUACCUUGAGUACCACUACAAUAAUCUAGACAUGAAAACAACAUUAACCUUCAAAUAAUUUCCACCUAAGGAUUGAGUAUUUAAGAUACAGAAGCUAAAUAGUAUGGAUUCGGAAGGUAGCAUAAGACUAAUAGAACACGUCAUGAAGAGAACAAGACAAAUUGAUUGAAUUCAUAUUCAAUCAGACUCUAAAUUUCUAAUUAUCCUCUCAAAGAUGCAUGGUGAAACAGAAUCAAGAACAUUGAGAUAUGUUCUACAAAUGAAGCAUUUUGUGUAACAAGAAUCCCGAGAACAAGUUGAUGACUUACCUGCAAUUUGUUUGAUCUCCGAGACAGAAAGGUCCCGCAUUUCCACACCAUCAAAUUUCUUCAAGGUUGAAAAUAUAAUUCUAGAUAUGUCAAGGUUAAGACCCAUCCCGAUGGCAUCACUAGCUACGAGAACAUCUAACUCGCUGUUUUCAUCAUUGAACAUUGUCGCCUGCAAUCCUAAAGAAUGUAUUAAUUCAGCUCAUAGCAGGAAUCAAAAUGGCUUACAUUCUAAAGAACAACAUCAAUUAAAGUGAACUAAGAAUCCAAAAUAAUAGUACAUGUUAAAGGAUAAACCAUAAGGAGAUUAAAUUCGAUUGCACAUUGAGAGACUGUGGAGUACAAGGAAAGAGCGUAAUAAUGGAAAGAGGACCCUUGCAAUCAGAAACUCAAUAAGAAAAUAACCUUUAAAGAAAAACAAAAAUAUCUCAUCUAAAAGAACUUUUACAUCGAUGUAAAAUAAGUUCUAUCUCUGACCAGAGAAAAAUGAAGGUAAAGAGUACAAAACCUGUCUCGUUCAAGUCUCUGGAGGUAGUGAACCAUAAACAACAGAACAGAGAUGCUUUCCUCCAUUUUCAAUUUGUUUCUGUCAAAAUCAAAAAAACAAGAGGUUCAAUCAGGAUGAGUAGAAAUGAAAGUGAUGAUGCAUAGUGAGAAGAAAAAUUAAAAUUAACUGAAUGUGAAUGGAUCUGAUCAUAUAAUCUCAAAUUCAAAAAUAUUCACCAUAUAUGAACUUUCAAAUGUAGGUCAAGCAAGUCUCAAUUGCAACCAUUAACCAGGUUGGCCACAUAAUUUCAAAAAUUAACAGGAAGUUAAGCAGCUCAAUAACAAAGCAGAAGUGUUUAAACUGAAAAAUUAACAGGAAGUUAACAAUAAGACGUAUUCGUUUAAAUUGUGAUCAAAAUGCCUUUUGCUUUCCUCAAACUAUUUAUAUCCUCCCAUCCCAAAAUCUCUUAUAGAAAGGAGGAAAAAACCCCUCCCAAAAGUAAAGAUCAGAAAGAAACACACCCUUUCUAAUGUAACGCCCACAGUUAAAAAGAAAGGAUUUAUGAAAGAUAGCUAUGUAACUAUUCAUAUAUUGAAAAUAGCAACAUAAAAUGACAUUUUCACAUAUAUGAUAUAACUAUAGCAUAUUGUAUAUUGCUUAUUAAACAACAUUACUAGAAAGGUCGUAUGUAUCUUUUGCAGGAACACAACUUUAAAUGUCAAAAUAAUUACAAACUAAUCUACAAUCUCCACUUGUCACCUAGAUGCAUCAUACUGCAUCAAAAUAACAUCUACUGUCACAACAUGGUCCAAAUAUAAUACGUGCACUAAUUUUUUUGAAAUGACAUCUUAAGCAAUACUAGUUAAAAUUUAAAAAGGCUGACAACUAUGUAAUGUCACCACCUCUGGAGUGGAAUCAAAAGAAAGCUAAAAUUUAGAAACCUUGACAAUGUCGUCGGUCACUUUCAGAAUUUCCUGAAUUAGAGGAACUGCUGCUGCAUCUCCACACAAAUGCAAUUCCUCAGCAGAUAUUCCUAAUAAAGCUCGUGUAAAUGAAAAACCCCUUGACCUACACCCUAACAUCUGUUGGGGGAAAAAAAAGAUACAGAGAUUAGAGGAAGUAAAUAACAUGUAUUCCACCAAUGAUGAAGCAGUUAAAAGUACAAAUUUCCAAAAAGGUUAGCAGUAUAAAAUUAUAAAAAUGUCUCUAAAACUAUGCACAAAACAAGACCAUGAUUUUGGUGCAUCCAAUUUUAUUCCAAUACCGUUCUCCUUCUUUAUAAUUCUUUUGAACUUCUUCCCAGAGAACAAAAGGCUUGGAUAUACAAUAGAAUUGAUUUUAGACAAGGCACCUACAUGAGAAUUUGUCAACGGUCACAAUAGGCGUACAACUUUUGGACAACCCACACCCCAGCCAAGGCGGGUUUUGAAAAAUAUUGUUUUCCACAUAGUAUGAACUAGCGUCAUUUUGCAAAGCACUGUAGAUCAGUACUCUACAACCUCAACUUUCAUACAGCAUAUUGAACUAGCAUCAUUUUGCAAAGCACUGCAGAUCAGUACUCUACAACCUCAACUUUUGCAGCUUAUUUACCAGGACAAACGAAAAACAGUAAUAACUGUCCAUGACAAACUGAUAUUAAAGCGACUUUCUUGUCUUAUACUAGAUAAUUAUACAUCAUUGUUGCACCAUUCCAUGAUAAUCUGCUUUAACUAAGCACAUUAAAAAGUCUGUUACAGAAAAUCAGUAAAGAAAGCAUGGAUGACCAAAACAUUUUUCAAAGAUUCAAAAUUUCAAGUUAUAUAAUUCUGCCUAAAUAAGAUGAUAGAGCAAAACAAAUAAAUGCAUACUCUAUUACAUAUAAAAUAAUCAAUAAGGAUAAAUUUUUUAGCUUCUGUGUCUUCAUGGACCAGAAAUUUAAGCAAUGUAUGGUAAUUUUAGAAACUUUAACUAUUGUCAAUGAUGUGGCUUAAAACCUUUUCUCUACCAAUUGGGAAAAAUGGCUUCCUCCUCACUUCUGUUUCAUUUAUACCAAAUAACAAAAAUUAAUUGAAACAUCAAAGGAAGAUGGAGCCAGUCAUGUGCUAUACACAGACCUGAAUUUCGUCAACAACAGCACAAGCAUAAUCAGAAUUCACAUCAGCCAUUUCUACAGUAACAGACUUAUGUUUUGCACCAUCAACUUCCUCCCUUUCUUGUCCGGUAAUAAGAUCACAAGGAACUUUAGCCUUAUUCAAACGUUUUGCCACCUCCCAUGCCAAUAGUCUCAAUGGCCCACAAUAAAUACCAGCAGCAAGUAUUCAUUGGUUUCUCAAUUAAAUAUCAGGGUGUGCACCCAAAAGAAACAAACAGAUUGUUGAGGAUAAUAAUAUGGAAAUAUUUUCAUAUGCAACAUACCAGAACAACUUGACUCCAGCUGCUUCAAUGCAUGAUAUGUUUUACCACUAUUUGUUGGACCAACAUGUAAGAUAAUAUUUCGUCUUUUUCUUCGAGCCUUUGGAUACCAAGUGUGAGGGCGCCUAAAAUUUAAAGCAAAAUAUGUACUGAUUAAAGUAAGAACGGACUGUGAAAACCAUUAACAAUAAAUUUAAAGAGCAAAAAACUUUAUCUUAGUAUCGUGAAUCUUACGUAAGAUCUGUAAAGUCAAAUUUCAUUGCUCUUGUGGAAUCGCUGAGCUGCCUAAAGAAUCGACACAUGGCCAAUGGAGUUCUAAACUUUGAGUCCCCAGAAACGCAACAAAACUCCAAAUUAACUGAACAGCAGAAAGGGUGAAAGAUGUAUCAUAUAUCAAACAACAGAAUGGCUACAAAAGAAAGCUGUGCUCAGUGAUACCUUUGUACUCUUAACAAAACACCCAAAAGAACAAAAAAUUUACAUUCAACACGCACUGACAACAAAUAUAUAUUGACAUCUAUGUGACGGAUGUGACAGGGGCCUAUGUACUUACAAUUCCCUGACUAGCUACCAAAAACUUCACACCUACAAAAACAAUUCCAUCUUAUGAAAAUCAUAUGAUCCACCUGCAACUUAUUGCAAACAAAAAUCAUCAUUCCUAUAAAGGAAUUGGGCUAGCCAAAUCACAUCUCUACUUGAGUUAGGCAUACUAGCAAGCAGCGAGACAACCUAUUGAAAUCCCAGUAGAACUGGAUAAUUAUAGAGUUAACCGUCGAAUUAGAUAUUUAACUCUACCCCAAUCUCAUCCUAUUAAAAGCAUAAAGUAAAGAAAAAAAUAUGUAUUCAGAGAUGUUGAACGUGAUGAGAAGUUGGUGGAUUGUGGAUACGGAAUUCUUUAGGGGACCUGCAUCAACAAUACAAAUAUUGUUGUUGCCAGAUUUCUCAAGGAUACAUGAAACACAUUCCUAAUCCCUAAGAAAAUACAUCAUAUAAAUGAAUGAGCAUGACCUUUAAAGCCAGUUACGGAGCCAGAUUACAGAAAUCAAGGUCUCAUACAGUUACACUUUAUGUGCACAAAAAUUCAAGAAUUCAACAACACUGUCAUGCCAAAAAAUGCAUAAUGUCAUGUAAGCAUAGAUUACCACUUCACCAUUUCCAUCAAUCAAUACAAUCAAUCAUGCAUCUGAGAGCACAAGCAUCACAUUCUACUGACGACAAAGCUUCAUACUGUGCAACAGAUAUUCCAUGCUGCUAUCAAAAUUUCCUCCUGAUUUAUGUUUAAUCAUACUUAUUAUCAGAUAUAAAAUCAAAUGCUAGCUGCUGUUAUUCAACUGAAACUUACAAUUUCUACAAAGGUCAACCACCACAUCGUUAUUAAUUUUUAUUCCUACAUCAUAAUAUGCCAUAAUAACCUGCAUUUGAUCGGUAAAAUACUAUUGAUACCAAAUGUGAAAUUACUUAUCAUUGUCAAUUUAGCUUCGAGUAUUUAAUCAACAAGACAAACAUGAUAUGAGCCUCUUUGGUACAUCUUUAUAUAAGAACUCGAUAAUAGAAAAAUGGAAUGUGAAUGUCUAUUUUUCUACUAAGCUAAAAGCCUAAAAGUUUCCACAACACAGAAUACUUCAUAUGUCUAACAGUACAUUCAACCUUAAAACAUACAACUGUAAUAGUAUAGAAUAAGAUUCAGACAAUUGGACAAAAGCACGCACAAAAACAAAUCCAAAUAAUUGAAGCAUCCUCAAAAAGACAGCGGAAAGAAACAAUUUCAGGUUAAUUAAUAAGAAAAAUAAAGCUAAGACCAUGAUAAAACCUGCACAGUCACUAGAAUUUACCCCUUGGACCUAUCAAAAUUAUGAUUUCUAUUUACAAAUUCCUCAAUUUCCACUAAUUUUCAACAGAAUCUUACAUAGAAUCAUUCAAAUUCCAGAAAACUGAGAGAGGUAAAAAAUUGAAAAAGAAAACUUCGCACCUUCAAGCACCGUCGGAAUAAUGUAUUCAGAUAUUUACUUUUUCCCAAUUCCUUUUUAUUAUCAACCAAAUUUUAUUGCCGAGCAUUUUAGUUAACAAGGGAAAAAGGAAUAACGGAGUUUACCAAGACCACGCGGGGUGCUGAAGUGUGUUAGCUUUCGAAGAAAGAUCAAAGACCCCAUUUUUCCCCUCGUUUUUUGUUCUCAAUUUCAGACAAUUGAAGGUAAAAUCAAGCGGAAAUUGAAAUCAUACGAGAAAAGGGAACCAAAAAUGAUUAAGAAGAGAGAAGUGAAUAUCUAACUGUUUUUAUUAAUGGAUUUUGUGGAGCUGAGUAAUUUACGUAUCUGUGUUCAUGGCGCGUUUUCCGACCGCCGUUUCCGGUGUGCUCAAAACAAGUCUGGCAUUUGCCUGUGUAAUAGUCUUGGGUAAAAAGCACACCAGUCACUCAACUUUCAGUCAAAUUUUAUUUUAGUCAUCCAACUUUUUUUCCCCCCAACUCAUGUUACUCAUCACUGAUAUUUCUAAUCAAUUAUAGUGCAUAUUUGAGCAAAGCUUACUGAUCAAACAUAAUUUUUAGUGAAAUUCACAAUUUACUUCACUUAUAUUCCAAACUUUUAGCACUUAGGCCCCGUUUGAUUACACGAAAUUUUCCAUGGAACUUGGAAUUCGAAUUCCAACUUCCACUUUUGGCCUGUUUGAUUGACAAAAUUUUCCAGGGAAUUGAUUUUCCAUGAAUUUCUAGGUACAACACCUUAAAGCGUGAUUUUCCAACUUUUUUUCCUAGGGGAUAGGUGGUUUUUGGUUUUCCAUCUUAUUUUUAUUUUUUAUUUUUUGCUUUUUUUUUUUAAUUGUUGGCAAUGGGAACAAAUUUUAGGAAUAAUUGUAAAAGAGGAUAUCCCUGAAAUUGACAAUUUCCACGUAAAACAAAGUCAAACGAACAUCAAAAAAUACUUUUACUUCAACAUUUUCCACGUGAAAAAUUUAUACAAUCAAACACAAUAAUUUACAAUUUCCAUGAAAACAAUUUCUAGGUAAUUCAAUUCCCUGGAAUUCAUUUUCUUUCCAUGUAAUUUUCCUACUUGUAAUCAAACGCACCCUUAGAGGCACUCUCAAACAAAGUGUUAGUACGAUCAUCAAUAAUAACUUUGUUAUAAAAAAUUAUCUAUUUUCAUUAACUUUUAUUUUAUCUUUAGUACGAUCAUCGAUAAUAACUUGGAGAUUAUGGCUUUUCUCUACUAAAAUCACUCCAAAUUGAUUAUACAAACAUUAUAAGAAUUUUUAGCUGUCUGAUAUUUGUGGAAAUCCAUAGUUUGAUUUUUUUUUUUUUUAAUCAAGGUUAGUUUCCUAAUACGAUUUACUUUAGAUAAAUUAAUCCUAAUGAAAAUGUCAACUUUUAUUUGAAUGAAAUUACUUGGAAACCCUUUUUCUUAUGUUUAUUUUCGAUCACACAUUUUUUAAAAAAUAAAUUAUUUUACUCGUUUUUUCAUAAUUUUUCGCUACACGUUCUUUAGAAAAUUAAAAUGAAGUACUAAGCCCUUGUUUGGUCCCAUUAUAUCUCAAAUGCAUUUUUCUCUCUUUCAUUUUCAAUUAUACAUUCUUAAAUAAAAUAAUAUUACAAGCAAAUUGAAAAAUUUUCAUAUAUAUUUUUUUACCACACUCUCUCCAUUAAAUCAUUAUUCCAAAAAUACAUUCUUGAUUAAAAAAAUAAAAAUCUCAAGCAUGUAAAUUUUAAAUCCAAAUCAACGAUAUAGAAAUUGCAAGUACAUUACUUGCCAUCUUAGCCAAAUUUACAAAUAGUGAACAAUUAAUUUCCACCGACUCAAAUUAUCAAAAACUGAACUGUGCUAGACGAGCAUACAUGGCCCUAUCCAAGAAGAUUUGUUCAUCGGGACUUGUUAUAAUCUUCAAUGAACUUAGUUGAUGCUCAAUCUCGUCUUUUUCUUGUCAAAUCCAUGUUUUUACUUUAAUAUUUUUUUAAAAAAAGACAUGGAUAAUAUAAACUUUUAUAUAUUGUAUAAAAUUAUAAAAUUAGUAGUUAAAACUAAGAGAACAAAAUUAAUUUAUAAUCUCAAAAAUGCGUACACAUGAAAAAUAUAAUUAGGAAUAGACUUUCAUAUUUAUUUUGUUCAAAAAAAUCUUCACGUUUUGAAAACUUUUACAUCUUUUGCAACUCGACUCAUGAGUUCAACUAAUGACCUGGCCAACUAUUGCUUAUUGAAUUGGUACUGAGAUUGAAUAUGAUAACUAUAAUAAAUAGUGCUCUUAUUUAAAUAUUUAAUUUUUAAGAAAAGGAAUUAAUACAGGACUAUAUUUAAUUAUUAAUGAUUACCUUAUAAUCUUUGUCCUCUGCCAAACUAUUUUUUAUUUUUAAUUUUUUAAAUCCCAAUUAACUAUGCAGUGUACGUCUGUAUGAAAUACAUGAUGUUUUUUAUAUUUGAACUUAAAAUUCAAUAUUUAAAAAUGUGGUACAAAAUAUCCUUUAUUGAUCAAAUUUAAAGUUUAAACUGCCUUUUCUUUUGGUAAUUACUCAAAACCAUUGAUGAUUAUCAUUUUUUAAACAUUGAUUCAGUGCUCUUGACAAGCUUUCUUUCUUGAACAGAAGUCAAAGACCCAUGCAUUCUCAUUCUUCAUUUUAAGGAUGUCCCAUUGAUACCGUCGACAAAUCCAAGCAACUUGAACAACUCUCCGUUUGGAGAACCAAUAGAAAGGACAAGUUAGCUUGAUGACUUCUUGAUCAAGAAAAAAGAAAGUCUCGACAACGAGAAUCACGUACAAUUCAUUUGGGAAAGGUGUGACAAGUCAAUCCAAGUGGUCGUCAUAACAUGUCCCAUAUUCAUUAAUUCAUCAUUCGUAGUUGCUUAAUUACAAGAGAUAUACUUUAUUCCAACAUCAAAUAUUUUGCAAAAAUUGCAAUACUUUAAACAAGAGCACCACCUUUGACAUACUCAGUAACUGCCAAUGCAAUCAAACCCAACAUGGCAAACCUUCCAUUCCACAACUCAGCAUCAGACGAAAACACCCCAUUCGAUUUCGAUUCUGCCCUAACCCCUUUGAACAGAGGAAUCAAAGAAGCAGCACUUAGCAAAGCAGAAGUCACUAUGAACCAUUGAAUUCCUCCAUUUUGUAUCUGUGCAAACACGUCCUGACCAUUAGCAAGCUCGACACCAAUGGCAGUGACGAACCCGAUCAUCGCGAGCCGACCGUUGAUCCUCUCCGGUCCUGGCCCACCGAAGGCUAGUAUGUCACCAAAGUUGGUACUAACCUGUCAAUGUUAAAGAAUAACUCAGAAGCCUGAUAGACUAAUGUUUGAGACUAUAAGUAGUAAGUUAAUCCCUAACCUUUGGUGGAGUUGCUGACUCCGGCUGCUCUUUCUGUUAAAUUCAAAGUGAAAAAAAUAAUUACGUCAAUAAUUGUAUAUCAAAUGUGUACUUGAAAUUUAUGCUUGAAACAAGAAUUAGUUACCUUGGACAUGCUGCUGACUCGAAAAUCCACAUUCCUCUUGAGACUUGGAACAUAGGAGGGUACAGCAAACCGUUUCAGGGCAGUUUUGUUUGUAAGUCCCGUGGCUGGGCUUAGUGACAUAACGCUUGAUACGGCAGCCAUGGUGUACGUUCGAGGGGCACGAGAAAAUUCCGAAGUAUACAAAAGUCAGUAUCUAAGUAAAGGGAGAGUCGGAGUAUUGAUACUAAAGAUUUCUUAGUAUUUGACUUGAGAAGGAGAUGUGGAGUGGAGGUUGGUUUUAUAGUGCAUGAUAGCAUGGGUAUGUUUCAUCUGCAGUCAUUGAUUUUUUAGCAAAAAAUUUAUUGCGUCACUAAACUUUGAUUUGUUUCAAUAGAGUUACUAAACGUCAAUUUAGAUUUAAGUUGAGUAUUAAACUUAAAUUUAAUUUCAAGUGUGGCCUCUUUCAAACUGAUGAAAAUUGCUUAAUUUGAAGUAUUGGAUCUUUUAUGCAAUUGCUGUGCGUCCGUGUAUUAAAUUUACCAUGAGAGGAGACAAAAAGUGAUGGAUAUUUCUACAUCCACGUAAUUUGAUAUGGCCCGUUAAAGAUACAAUGUCACGUGGGUUUGUAAUGCCACACAUAUUUGACUUGGCCAUAAUAUUGACAACAAUUUCAAGUGAAAAAGUUGUGGCCUAGAUGGUUCCAUGUAUGGUUAGGUGGACAAUUUUAACAUUAUGCGGGUAUAAUAUGACAUUUUGUGGUCUUAUCUUCUUGUAUUUGCAAUUUUGUUUUUUCAAAAGUCGUGACGAAUAUAUGGAGAAGGAUAAUUCUGUUUGAACGGCCCAUGCAAGUAACGUGGUCCUGUAGAGAAUGGGAGCUUGUUUAGGAGUGAUCUUUCAUCCAAAAAAAUUGAUUUUUUGACCGUUAUUUUACUAUUUCAACUGUAAAAUUUGACUUUUUCUCUUACAUGUAGUUCCUACUUUUCUCCUAACUGUCACAAAAUCACUCCCAAACGGGGCAUGGGUAUAAUUUUUUGAGGAGUACGGAUAGCCUCGCGUGUCAUCUCUUUAAUUGUGUCAAAUGUGACGUAUGUUCUCUCAUAUAUCUCGCUCUUGAAAUUGUGACUUAUGAUAAUUGCAGUGUCUCCAAAAUAUAUCCGUCACAUAUAUGUGACCAAUGGUGAAUUAGGAUUUCAAGAAAUGAAUAUGGUUGAAAUGUGAAACACAAGGAUCUUGCUCUAUCAUUUGAAAUGAAGAAGGUGAAUUUGAGUGAAGUUAUUCACAAUAAGAAUGAAUUUUCUCUCAUCAAAUUUGAGUAAAUAUAAUAAAAUUAUAAAAUCCGAAUUUCAAAAAAUAACCUUAUGAUAAUAAUUCUUGAAUUAUGGAUUCGUGAAAAUGAAAAAUGAAAAUAAAUAAACAUCGAAAUUAUUGUCCCUACUACAACUUUAUAGCUUCUCCAUUAUAUAUCUAUAGUAUAUAAUAUAUUAAAUAUCACAUCAAGUGGGAAUAUUUUUUAAAAUAAUUUUAACCCCAUUAAAUCAAUUAUUUCAAUAAUAACUUACUACUCGCUUUUCAAUAUGUAAUAAAUACCAUAAAAUCAUUGUCAUGUAUGAACCUCGCAUUAUUAAUUCUCAAUUAAUUAUUAUUCACAUUAAUCUAGACCUAAUGAAUCUUAACUCGAUGAAUUUUCUACAUGAUAGAUGAAUUUAUUUCAUUCAUGUACUUAAAAAAUAUAAGGAAAGCUACUAUAUUUAAUAUGUUGCCAUUAAUGAAUAUUUGUAAUUGAUAGCCACAAUACUUAAUAGUGAUUUUGGUUAUAUGAGAUGAGAGACAUCUCACAUUGAGCGGUAUCAAUUUUUAUUGAGUAUCAUUGAGUAUAGUUGACAACCUCCCUUGAGUCUCAAGUGUAAUGAAACUAAGCGGAUUGAUGUUUUUCCGGUAUUUAUUUGAGAAUUUUUUNNNNNNNNNNNNNNNNNNNNNNNNNNNNNNNNNNNNNNNNNNNNNNNNNNNNNNNNNNNNNNNNNNNNNNNNNNNNNNNNNNNNNNNNNNNNNNNNNNNNNNNNNNNNNNNNNNNNNNNNNNNNNNNNNNNNNNNNNNNNNNNNNNNNNNNNNNNNNNNNNNNNNNNNNNNNNNNNNNNNNNNNNNNNNNNNNNNNNNNNNNNNNNNNNNNNNNNNNNNNNNNNNNNNNNNNNNNNNNNNNNNNNNNNNNNNNNNNNNNNNNNNNNNNNNNNNNNNNNNNNNNNNNNNNNNNNNNNNNNNNNNNNNNNNNNNNNNNNNNNNNNNNNNNNNNNNNNNNNNNNNNNNNNNNNNNNNNNNNNNNNNNNNNNNNNNNNNNNNNNNNNNNNNNNNNNNNNNNNNNNNNNNNNNNNNNNNNNNNNNNNNNNNNNNNNNNNNNNNNNNNNNNNNNNNNNNNNNNNNNNNNNNNNNNNNNNNNNNNNNNNNNNNNNNNNNNNNNNNNNNNNNNNNNNNNNNNNNNNNNNNNNNNNNNNNNNNNNNNNNNNNNNNNNNNNNNNNNNNNNNNNNNNNNNNNNNNNNNNNNNNNNNNNNNNNNNNNNNNNNNNNNNNNNNNNNNNNNNNNNNNNNNNNNNNNNNNNNNNNNNNNNNNNNNNNNNNNNNNNNNNNNNNNNNNNNNNNNNNNNNNNNNNNNNNNNNNNNNNNNNNNNNNNNNNNNNNNNNNNNNNNNNNNNNNNNNNNNNNNNNNNNNNNNNNNNNNNNNNNNNNNNNNNNNNNNNNNNNNNNNNNNNNNNNNNNNNNNNNNNNNNNNNNNNNNNNNNNNNNNNNNNNNNNNNNNNNNNNNNNNNNNNNNNNNNNNNNNNNNNNNNNNNNNNNNNNNNNNNNNNNNNNNNNNNNNNNNNNNNNNNNNNNNNNNNNNNNNNNNNNNNNNNNNNNNNNNNNNNNNNNNNNNNNNNNNNNNNNNNNNNNNNNNNNNNNNNNNNNNNNNNNNNNNNNNNNNNNNNNNNNNNNNNNNNNNNNNNNNNNNNNNNNNNNNNNNNNNNNNNNNNNNNNNNNNNNNNNNNNNNNNNNNNNNNNNNNNNNNNNNNNNNNNNNNNNNNNNNNNNNNNNNNNNNNNNNNNNNNNNNNNNNNNNNNNUUAAAAUUACAUGUUCUCUGUUCGAGAGUUUUUGAUUCGGUCCUUUUGCUAUAUGUCUUUUCUCCCUUUUAUACUCCAUGGAUGAUCUCUUUGUGAUCAACCGCCUAAAAACUGUUUGAUCGUUCUACAACUGCCCACUUUCCUCGUAAUGGCCAACUUGUCAUGAAACUGCCUUUUUUAACUGCUGCCAUUACUCUUCGUCGUCCAACCGUUUUUGAUUGAAUUCUUUGAAUCGUGGAAUGUGAUAGGGCUGCUUUAAUAACUGCUUUGAUAACUGCACUUCUUGAUAACCACAACACUUUAUGUUUGCUAAGACCUUGGGCGACUUGAAGGUUUGGGCGAGAAUAGAGUAACAGCUCUGGGCGACUGCAUGACACUCCAUUCGCUCAGAUUCUGGGCGACUUGCAAACUUGGGCGAUGGCGUUACCGCGUUCUUGGGCCUCCCUAUUUGGGCCUUCGUCUUGAAUUGUUUGAUUGGGCUUCGUUCUUUGGGCUAUUUGAUUUGGGGACCCUCCAAUUGGGCUUCAUUCCUUGGGCCGUUCGAUUUGGGCUGAAUUUUUAUGUGUCAACACUAGGGUUUAUAAAAAUUAAUGAAAAGCAGAGUAGUAAAAAUGUAUCAAUUGAUUAGUGAAGUGUUGCUUUCCGUUUUUAAGUUGAUAGAGACCUCAGCCAAUUAACAUUGGCUUUCACCUAUUCAGAAAUAACAUUUUUAAGAAAUGAAAUAAAAAAGAGAAAAUCAAUUAAAACUGCCCAAUUGCCUGCUCAAUUUGGUCUAAUUUUUCCUUCAUUCUUUUUUCCUUGGUGUUCUAGUUAUGAAAGUAGAAUAACAUGAUAAUGGGAAAUAUUCAAACUUCUUAUAAGAUCUACACCUUGUAGAAGAAUUUAAUCAAUACAAAACAUGGGCUAUGAAAGUAGAAUAAUAAUGAUAAUCGGACAUGUAAAGGCAGGAUCACACGAUAUUAAAUUCAAGAAAUAAGAAAACCUUAAUCGAACAGAAGUAAAAUUGCAGGAAAUUAAAAAUGAACACAAAUGAAUUAUUUCGGCCUAAGCCCCGGAGGUUCGGCGACUACUUCUAACGCCUACAUCCCCCGUUGAGCAUCCAAAGAUUUGGAUUAUGCUCGGUUGCAUUUAACAGCCCAAAAUGACAACAAAUGUUACAUAUUGUUCAGAGAGAUGAAAAUGAGACUUAUCUCUCAAGUAUAGUUAUGGAUCUAAGAGAUUCACUCAGAUCUCAGCCAUCAGACCCUUCGAACACCACCACAAGGUUACAACAGAGAAAUCACUCAGAUUUCUUCACUAUUCACAUAGAAUAUUACAGAUCGAAGAAAGAUCUCACUAUACUAUACAUAAAAUCAGAGAUUUAAGCAUGAAACACUCAAGGAAAUAAUCAUCUCCCAGAUCGCCAACUUUUUCUCUCUGAAAACCCUAGAGACAAAAGUGAAAAUGAAUAUUGAAAGUCAGACGUUCCAGAAGGCUCCGGAUUUUUUAAUGAAGGGCAGAUAAACCGACUCCAUCUAACGUCCAGAGUUAGUCCACGUGUUGCCCAUCCAAUAAGUUGUCACCACUUAUUAAGUCGUGUUUCAUAUAAACACGAUUUUGUCACAAGUCAAAUUUUGAAAGCACCAAUUGAAGAGAACAGGUUUCGAUUCCAACAAUCUCCACCUUGCUGCCAGAAUUUGAACUAUUAGUGCAGCCAGGAGCAUGAUCUUAUGUCUUUUUCAUUUGCUUCAAGUACCUGUACAUAAAUCACAAAGAAUCAACAGAUAAAAGUUUCAAACAGUUUAAAAAUUUGUUUAAAGGAAUUACUUUUGUACCCAUAUCAGAUGGAUUAAACUGAGUAGAAAACAUUUCAAUCUUAAUUUCACCUUUUGAAAUUAUAUGUCUUAUAUAAUGAUAUUUGACAUCAAUAUGUUUCAAUCUAUCAUGAAACAUGAGAUUUUUACUUAGGUGAAUAGCACUUUGGUUAUCAGAAAACAGCACAAUGUGAUUAUUAUCAAAACUCAUUUCAGACAAUAAAUCAUUCAACCAAAUCCCUUCUUUAUAUAAGAACUCGAUAAUAGAAAAAUGGAAUAUGAAUGUCUAUUUUUCUACUAAGCUAAAAGCCUAAAAGUUUCCACAACACAAUACUUCAUAUGUCAGAAUACUUCAUAUGUCUAACAAUAAAUUCAACCUUAAAACAUACAACUGUAAUAGUGUAGAAUAAGAUUCAGACAAUUGGACAAAAGCACAAAAACAAAUCCAAAUAAUGACUUCGAUUGAAGCAUCCUCAAACAGACAGUGGAAAGAAACAAUUUCAGGUUAUGAUUUCUACCUUGGACCUAUCAAAAUUAUGAUUUCUAAUUUACAAAUUCCUCAAUUUCGACUCAUUUUCAACAGAAUCUUACAUAGAAGCAUUCAAAUUCCAGAAAACUGAGAGAGGUAAAAAAUUGAAAAAUAUGUAUUCAGAGAUGUCGAACGUGAUGAGAAGUUGGUGGAUUGUGGAUACGGAAUUCUUUAGGGGACCUGCAUCAACAAUACAAAUAUUGUUGUUGCCAGAUUUCUCAAGGAUACAUGAAACACGUUCCUAAUCCCUAAGAAAAUACAUCAUAUAAAUGAAUGAGCAUGACCUUUAAAGCCAGUUACGGAGCCAGAUUACAGAAAUCAAGGUCUCAUACAGUUACACUUUAUGUGCACGAAAAUUCAAGAAUUCAACAACACUGUCAUGCCAAAAAAAUGCAUAAUGUCAUGUAAGCAUAGAUUACCACUUCACCAUUUCCAUCAAGCAAUACAAUCAAUCAUGCAUCUGAGAGCACAAGCAUCACAUUCUACUGACGACUAAGCUUCAUACUGUGCAACAGAUAUUCCAUGCUGCUAUCAAAAUUUCCUCCUGAUUUAUGUUUAAUCAUACUUAUUAUCAGAUAUAAAAUCAAAUGCUAGCUGCUGUUAUUCAACUGAAACUUACAAUUUCUACAAAGGUCAACCACCACAUCGUUAUUAAUUUUUAUUCCUACAUCAUAAUAUGCCAUAAUAACCUGCAUUUGAUCGGUAAAAUACUAUUGAUACCAAAUGUGAAAUUACUUAUCAUUGUCAAUUUAGCUUCGAGUAUUUAAUCAACAAGACAAACAUGAUAUGAGCCUCUUUGGUACAUCUUUAUAUAAGAACUCGAUAAUAGAAAAAUGGAAUAUGAAUGUCUAUUUUUCUACUAAGCUAAAAGCCUAAAAGUUUCCACAACACAGAAUACUUCAUAUGUCUAACAGUACAUUCAACCUUAAAACAUACAACUGUAAUAGUAUAGAAUAAGAUUCAGACAAUCGGACAAAAGCACAAAAACAAAUCCAAAUAAUUGAAGCAUCCUCAAAAAGACAGUGGAAAGAAACAAUUUCAGGUUAAUUAAUAAGAAAAAUAAAGCUAAGACCAUGAUAAAACCUGCACAGUCACUAGAAUUUACCCCUUGGACCUAUCAAAAUUAUGAUUUCUAUUUACAAAUUCCUCAAUUUCGACUAAUUUUCAACAGAAUCUUACAUAGAAUCAUUCAAAUUCCAGAAAACUGAGAGAGGUAAAAAAUUGAAAAAGAAAACUUCGCACCUUCAAGCACCGUCGGAAUAAUGUAUUCAGAUAUUUACUUUUUCCCAAUUCCUUUUUAUUAUCAACCAAAUUUUAUUGCCGAGCAUUUUAGUUAACAAGGGAAAAAGGAAUAACGGAGUUUACCAAGACCACGCGGGGUGCUGAAGUGUGUUAGCUUUCGAAGAAAGAUCAAAGACCCCAUUUUUCCCCUCGUUUUUUGUUCUCAAUUUCAGACAAUUGAAGGUAAAAUCAAGCGGAAAUUGAAAUCAUACGAGAAAAGGGAACCAAAAAUGAUUAAGAAGAGAGAAGUGAAUAUCUAACUGUUUUUAUUAAUGGAUUUUGUGGAGCUGAGUAAUUUACGUAUCUGUGUUCAUGGCGCGUUUUCCGACCGCCGUUUCCGGUGUGCUCAAAACAAGUCUGGCAUUUGCCUGUGUAAUAAUCUUGGGUAAAAAGCACACCAGUCACUCAACUUUCAGUCAAAUUUUAUUUUAGUCAUCCAACUUUUUUCCCCCCUAACUCAUGUUACUCAUCACUGAUAUUUCUAAUCAAUUAUAGUGCAUAUUUGAGCAAAGCUUACUGAUCAAACAUAAUUUUUAGUGAAAUUCACAAUUUACUUCACUUAUAUUCCAAACUUUUAGCACUUAGAGGCACUCUCAAACAAAGUGUUAGUACGAUCAUCGAUAAUAACUUUGUUAUAAAAAAUUAUCUAUUUUCAUUAACUUUUAUUUUAUCUUUAGUACGAUCAUCGAUAAUAACUUGGAGAUUAUGGCUUUUCUCUACUAAAAUCACUCCAAAUUGAUUAUACAAACAUUAUAAGAAUUUUUAGCUGUCUGGUAUUUGUGGAAAUCCAUAGUUUGAUUUUUUUUUUUUUAAUCAAGGUUAGUUUCCUAAUACGAGUUACUUUAGAUAAAUUAAUCCUAAUGAAAAUGUCAACUUUUAUUUGAAUGAAAUUACUUGGAAACCCUUUUUCUUAUGUUUAUUUUCGAUCACACAUUUUUUAAAAAAUAAAUUACUUUACUCGUUUUUUCAUAAUUUUUCGCUACACAUUCUUUAGAAAAUUAAAAUGAAGUACUAAGCCCUUGUUUGGUCCCGUUAUAUUUCAAAUGCAUUUUUCUCUCUUUCAUUUUCAAUUAUACAUUCUUAAAUAAAAUAAUAUUACAAGCAAAUUGAAAAAUUUUCAUAUAUAUUUUUUUACCACACUCUCUCCAUUAAAUCAUUAUUCCAAAAAUACAUUCUUGAUUAAAAAAAUAAAAAUCUCAAGCAUGCUGUAAAUUUUAAAUCCAAAUCAACGAUAUAGAACUUGCAAGUACAUUACUUGCCAUCUCAGCCAAAUUUACAAAUAGUGAACAAUUAAUUUCCACCGACUCAAAUUAUCAAAAACUGAACUGUGCUAGACGAGCCUACAUGGCCCUAUCCAAGAAGAUUUGUUCAUCGGGACUUGUUAUAAUCUUCAAUGAACUUAGUUGACGCUCAAUCUCGUCUUUUUCUUGUCAAAUCCAUGUUUUUACUUUAAUAUUUUUUUUAAAAAAAGACAUGGAUAAUAUAAACUUUUAUAUAUUAUAUAAAAUUAUAAAAUUAGUAGUUAAAACUAAGAGAACAAAAUUAAUUUAUAAUCUCAAAAAUGCGUACACAUGAAAAAUAUAAUUAGGAAUAGACUUUCAUAUUUAUUUUGUUCAAAAAAAUCUUCACGCUUUGAAAACUUUUACAUCUCUUGCAACUCGACUCGUGAGUUCAACUAAUGACCUGGCCAACUAUUGCUUAUUGAAUUGGUACUGAGAUUGAAUACGAUAGCUAUAAUAAAUAGUGCUCUUAUUUAAAUAUUUAAUUUUUAAGAAAAGGAAUUAAUACAGGACUAUAUUGAAUUAUUAAUGAUUUCCUUAUAAUCUUUGUCCUCUGCCAAACUAUUUUUAUUUUUAAUUUUUUAAAUCCCAAUUAACUAUGCAGUGUACGUCUGUAUGAAAUACAUGAUGUUUUUUAUAUUUGAACUUAAAAUUCAAUAUUUAAAAAUGUGGUACAAAAUAUCCUUUAUUGACCAAAUUUAAAGUUUAAACUGCCUUUUCUUUUGGUAAUUACUCAAAACCAUUGAUGAUUAUCAUUUUUUAAACAUUGAUUCAGUGCUCUUGACAAGCUUUCUUUCUUGAACAGAAGUCAAAGACCCACCCAUGCAUUCUCAUUCUUCAUUUUAAGGAUGUCCCAUUGAUACCAUCGACAAAUCCAAGCAACUUGAACAACUCUCCGUUUGGAGAACCAAUAGAAAGGACAAGUUAGCUUGACGACUUCUUGAUCAAAGAAAAAGAAAGUCUCGACAACGAGAAUCACGUACAAUUCAUUUGGGAAAGGUGUGACAAGUCAAUCCAAGUGGUCGUCAUAACAUGUCCCAUAUUCAUUAAUUCAUCAUUCGUAGUUGCUUAAUUACAAGAGAUUAUACUUUAUUCCAACAUCAAAUAUUUUGCAAAAAUUGCAAUACUUUAAACAAGAGCACCACCUUUGACAUACUCAGUUACUGCCAAUGCAAUCAAACCCAACAUGGCAAACCUUCCAUUCCACAACUCAGCAUCAGACGAAAACACCCCAUUCGAUUUCGAUUCUGCCCUAACCCCUUUGAACAGAGGAAUCAAAGAAGCAGCACUUAGCAAAGCAGAAGUCACUAUGAACCAUUGAAUUCCUCCAUUUUGUAUCUGUGCAAACACGUCCUGACCGUUAGCAAGCUCGACACCA
rnacentral:lncRNA from 1 species